rnacentral:rRNA from 1 species
UGCCAGACUCCUACGGGAGGCAGCAGUGGGGAAUAUUGCACAAUGGGGGAAACCCUGAUGCAGCAACGCCGCGUGGGUGAAGGAGCGUUUCGGCGCGUAAAGCCCUGUCAGCAGGGAAGAAAAUGACGGUACCUGAAGAAGAAGCCCCGGCUAACUACGUGCCAGCAGCCGCGGUAAUACGUAGGGGGCAAGCGUUAUCCGGAUUUACUGGGUGUAAAGGGGGCGCAGACGGCGAUGCAAGCCAGGAGUGAAAGCCCGGGGCCCAACCCCGGGACUGCUCUUGGAACUGCGUGGCUGGAGUGCAGGAGGGGCAGGCGGAAUUCCUGGUGUAGCGGUGAAAUGCGUAGAUAUCAGGAGGAACACCGGUGGCGAAGGCGGCCUGCUGGACUGCAACUGACGUUGAGGCCCGAAAGCGUGGGGAGCAAACAGGAUUAGAUACCCUAGUAU